rnacentral:sRNA from 1 species
GCCGCUGCACAAUCAGCGGCCGGGUUUGGCGACCCGAAUUCCAAGUUGGCGCAUGUGCGCCCCAAGACCAUUGUUGGCGCUUUUUUU